rnacentral:rRNA from 1 species
CCUACGGGGGGCUGCAGUGGGGAAUAUUGGACAAUGGGCGAAAGCCUGAUCCAGCCAUGCCGCGUGAGUGAUGAAGGCCUUAGGGUUGUAAAGCUCUUUUGUCCGGGAAGAUAAUGACGGUACCGGAAGAAUAAGCCCCGGCUAACUUCGUGCCAGCAGCCGCGGUAAUACGAAGGGGGCUAGCGUUGUUCGGAUUUACUGGGCGUAAAGCGCACGUAGGCGGAUCUUUAAGUCAGAGGUGAAAUCCCAAGGCUCAACCUUGGAACUGCCUUUGAUACUGGGGAUCUCGAGUUCGGGAGAGGUGAGUGGAACUCCGAGUGUAGAGGUGAAAUUCGUAGAUAUUCGCAAGAACACCAGUGGCGAAGGCGGCUCACUGGCCCGAUACUGACGCUGAGGUGCGAAAGCGUGGGGAGCAAACAGGAUUAGAUACCCGGGUAGUC